AUACGGAGGGGGCGAGCGUUAUUCGGAAUCAUUGGGCGUAAAGGGCGCGUAGGCGGCCUGACAAGUCAGGGGUGAAAUCCCUCGGCUCAACCGAGGAACUGCCUCUGAAACUGUCAGGCUUGAGGCCGGGAGAGGGUAGUGGAAUUCCCAGUGUAGCGGUGAAAUGCGUAGAUAUUGGGAGGAACACCAGUGGCGAAGGCGGCUACCCGGACCGGUUCUGACGCUGAGGCGCGAAAGUGUGGGGAGCAAACAGGAUUAGAAACCCUAGUAGUCC
rnacentral:rRNA from 1 species